AUGUUCAUGUGCCCGUCGAUGGCAUGCUUGCACCAAGACCAGCACGAACAAUGGACACGCAACCAAGGCAAUCCUCGUAGAAGCGUGAGGGUUUUUCGGUGCCAGCUGCCUCGUACCAACAUGUUCUACUCAAGUGAACCUCCAAGUCACAAUAACUCUAACAAGCCAUUAUGUGCUGGAGGUUGUUUUCCUUUUGUUCAGUUACAUGGCAUCUUAGAUUUACUGUGCCUAAUAAGUUUGGUAUGCUAUUAG
rnacentral:rRNA from 1 species